AUCUGUUUCAUCACCAGAGUGAGUCUGUGUUUGGACAGGCAAUCUACCGUGCCUGUUGAGGUUUGGGAGUGGCACGAGCAGUCAUGUGGCAUCCAGCGACGUUGGCUUCAUAUGGUCAGAGUCACGACAGAGAGAGCGGCCACUACAGCCACCACACUAGUGCUCUGAAUUCUUCCCCAUCUCAGCACCCACCCAUGAGCUCCAUGGUGGGUCAUCCAUCCGUCAUCAGUUCCUCCCGCCCACUGCAGUCCCCCAUGAACACGCUGGGUUCCUCCAUAAAUGGCCUAACCUCACCCUACCCUGUCAUCACCCCGUCUUUGGGAUCACCAUCCAUUUCCUUGCCCUCUACACCCAGUAUGGGCUAUAACAAUCUCAGCAGCCCACAGAUGAACUCUUUGAAUGUGACUAGCUCAGAGGACAUCAAGCCCCCUCCAGGAUUGGCUCCAAUGGGCAACAUGAGCAACUAUCAGUGCGGUAGCCCUGGAUCCCUGUCCAAACACAUGUGUGCCAUUUGCGGGGACCGAUCUUCAGGGAAGCACUAUGGUGUUUAUAGUUGUGAAGGCUGCAAAGGCUUCUUUAAGAGAACUAUCCGAAAAGACCUGACCUACACGUGUCGAGACAACAAAGAGUGCCUAAUAGACAAACGGCAGCGCAAUCGCUGCCAAUAUUGCCGCUACCAGAAGUGCCUGGCCAUGGGCAUGAAGAGGGAAGCGGUCCAAGAAGAGAGGCAGCGUGGAAAAGAGAAAAGUGAUAAUGAGGUGGAAUCAACGAGCAGUUUCAAUGAGGACAUGCCUGUGGAUAAGAUUCUGGAUGCAGAGCUUGCAGUCGAACCCAAGACUGAGACAUAUACAGAGGACAUCCCAGGCAACUCAACGAAUGAUCCAGUCACUAAUAUCUGCCAUGCAGCUGACAAGCAACUGUUCACUUUGGUGGAGUGGGCCAAAAGAAUACCUAAUUUUUCUGAUCUGCCUCUGGAUGAUCAAGUCAUUCUGCUUCGAGCAGGAUGGAAUGAGCUCCUCAUCGCUUCAUUCUCUCAUCGCUCAAUCACAGUUAAAGAUGGCAUCUUAUUGGGCACAGGCCUCCAUGUCCACAGGAGCAGUGCUCACAGUGCCGGAGUGGGCUCCAUUUUCAACAGAGUACUUACUGAGCUGGUUUCUAAAAUGAAGGACAUGCAGAUGGAUAAGACAGAACUGGGCUGCCUUAGGGCCAUCGUCCUCUUCAACCCUGACGCCAAAGGCUUGUCAAACCCAGUGGAGGUAGAAGCACUCAGGGAGAAGGUUUAUGCCUCACUUGAAACUUACACCAAACAGAAAUACCCCAACCAGCCUGGCAGGUUUGCUAAACUUUUAUUGCGUCUCCCCGCUCUCCGAUCCAUCGGACUCAAGUGUUUGGAGCACCUAUUUUUCUUCAAGCUGAUUGGCGACACACCGAUAGACACUUUCCUAAUGGAGAUGCUUGAAGCCCCCCUCACGUGACACAAGUUUCAACUCAGCAUUUUUGUACAUUUGUCUAUGUAACUAAUAUAAUAAUACAUUUGAUUGAAGCUGCAUAUUUUAUGCCAAGCACAAACUGUUAUUCUUGUAAAAACUGUGGGGAGGGAAAAGAGGGGUAUGUCUUAAAAUAUACAGAUGAAAUUAAUUUUACUGGAAUGGUUUUAUUAGAAAUAUGCUUGUCUCUGUAAAUAGCUAACAUCAGGUAUCCAUUCUAAUGGCAAUAAAAUUCAAUUUUAUUUUAUUCAAUAUUUUAUUCAAAGAAUACGUUUAUCAAACCCAGACAAUAAUUUCUAAAAUGAAGUUUAGAAUUCUGUCCAAAUAAAUAUUUAAAUAUUUAAACGCUUUCUCUUUUGUGUCAUUAGUCUUUUGAAUAAUGUUUGUGUAAGAGCCUGUUGUCAGAAUUUCCUGUCCAAGUAGGACCUUAUUUUAUUAGAGCAUUCAUAUCGCAAAUAAAUAAUCAUUUACAGGUGCAGAACACCAUGCUUCACAGAUCUGCGGCAUUGUGUCCAGCCCACCAGAUGGCGCUGUUUUGGACGAUUACAAACCACAAUUUUAAUCUUCUCAACACGUGAGCGAAUGUAAUAAAGGACUGGCUUUUUCUAGCACUGUAACUGCUGAGACAGUACAUUUAUGAAGCCAGUUUGGGACACUGUAAACUCUACAUGGAACUUGGUGCUGCUGAUGGGAGGAGGAAGAGGAGCGUUAGAGAGAGAGAGAGAGAGAGAGAGAGAGAGAGAGAGAGA